UACGUAGGGUGCAAGCGUUAAUCGGAAUUACUGGGCGUAAAGCGUGCGCAGGCGGUUAUGUAAGACAGGUGUGAAAUCCCCGGGCUUAACCUGGGAACUGCAUUUGUGACUGCAUAGCUAGAGUACGGUAGAGGGGGAUGGAAUUCCGCGUGUAGCAGUGAAAUGCGUAGAUAUGCGGAGGAACACCGGUGGCGAAGGCGGCCUACUGGGCCAGCACUGACGCUGAGGCGCGAAAGCUCGGGGAGCGAACGGG
rnacentral:rRNA from 1 species